rnacentral:tmRNA from 1 species
AGACAUAUUUCGAAAAUUAAUAAUAGAUAAGCAUGUAGAAAAUUAUUUGACACCUUGUUAGGACGUGGGUUCGAAACCCACCAGCUCCACCA